rnacentral:rRNA from 1 species
UACAGAGGGUGCAAGCGUUAAUCGGAAUUACUGGGCGUAAAGCGUGCGUAGACGGUUAUGUAAGUCGGGUGUGAAAGCCCCGGGCUCAACCUGGGAAUUGCAUUCGAGACUGCAUAGCUAGGGUGCGGAAGAGGGAAGCGGAAUUUCCGGUGUAGCGGUGAGAUGCGUAGAUAUCGGAAGGAACACCAGUGGCGAAGGCGGUUCUCUGGGCAUGUCCUGACGCUGAGGAGCGAAAGUGUGGGGAGCGAACAGG